rnacentral:rRNA from 1 species
UACGUAGGGUGCGAGCGUUAAUCGGAAUUACUGGGCGUAAAGCGUGCGCAGGCGGUUUUGUAAGCCAGAUGUGAAAUCCCCGGGCUUAACCUGGGAAUGGCAUUUGGGACUGCAAGGCUGGAGUGUGGCAGAGGAGACUGGAAUUCCCGGUGUAGCAGUGAAAUGCGUAGAUAUCGGGAGGAAUACCGAUGGCGAAGGCAGGUCUCUGGGCUGACACUGACGCUCAUGCACGAAAGCGUGGGGGAGCAAACAGG